CAAAGCAGGGUUUGUUUUGGGGAGGAGCUAUGCUGGCUCUGUUGAGUGGAUGUUGGUGUGGAAAUAAUACUUACACCAAAAUGCUGCUCUUCUCCACUGUACGUGUUGUGGUUUGACAAAGGACCGCCGCUCCAGCAUCACAACUUCUUGGUGUGACCAAUCACAAAGGUGUGUUUUUGCAGGGUACACAUCUCCAGUGCAUACAGUAAGCGUGGCUUCAAGGGUCGAGGAAAAAGUGAUGGCGACAAAGCGCCGCCCUCCC